CAGAAAGUGUCUUUUUCAUUACAGUUUCUGCUGCUGGGCAAGCGGUAUAUCACUAUACGGCUUCUGUACCGUGAAAUGAAGCUUAUGAUAAAUAUUUAAAAUACUGCUGCUUGCUGUUCACUGAUUCAAGAUCGUUCAGUGGCUACCAUUGGCCAAUCUCACCAACGGGAUAUAAUAAGAACUGAAGCAGGUUUAUGCACCCGUAGCCAAGUAAGCAAUGCGAGUUAAAAUUAGUUAAAAUCAAGUUUUAACUGAAUAAAAAUUA